AGGUCUCACCUUUCUUUCUCGCCAUGGUGCACCUCAUGCAGAAUCUCGCCUGCUUGUCACAGGAUCAGGAAGUGAAAGCUCAGAGGACUAAAAAGGACAAAAAGCCGAAAGGAUAAUUUUGUACAAAAUCCCAUCACCCGUCCGUAUUGCAGAGCCGCACAGAGGCAGCGGGGGGAGCGUCAUACUGUGGGAAUAUUACUUUCUGGGGGUAUAAGAGUCAGUUACAGGUAGAAAGUGCAGGCCCUUCUGUGACGUCACCCGCUGACCGAUGCACAACUCUUCUAGUGAUUAUAGGAGAGAACUGGUUCUACAGGAAGAGAUAAUCAUGAGACAUGGCUGCUAAAUGACACGGCGGAAUAUUUAUACACUAACAUAUCGCCGGCAGGAAAAGGCCAUUAUACAUCAUUUAGCUGUGGACCUCUCUCUCGCCCAACAGACAUGUCAUACACAGCAUGCAGGCUGUUUUAAAGAUUUUAUAUAUUUUAAUUAUAGAACAAUUUAAAAUA